rnacentral:rRNA from 1 species
GCGCACCAGGCGCGAAAAUUUUGCAAUGCGCGCAAGCGUGACAAAGUCAUCCCGAGUGCCGUCCGCUGAGGAUGGCUUUUCCCCAGUGUAGACAGCUGGGGGAAUAAGGAGAGGGCAAGUCGGGUGUCAGCCGCCGCGGUAAUACCCGCUCUCCGAGUGGUGGGGACGCUUAUUGGGCCUAAAGCAUCCGUAGCUAGCUGGGCAAGUCCCCUGUUAAAUCCAGCGAUUUAAUCGUUGGACUGCGGGGGAUACUGUCCGGCUAGGGGGCGGGAGAGGCCGACGGUAUUUCCGGGGUAGGGGUGAAAUCCUAUAAUCCCGGGAGGACCACCAGUGGCGAAGGCUGUCGGCUAGAACGCGCCCGACGGUGAGGGAUGAAAGCUGGGGGAGCGAACCGGAUUAGAUACCCGGGUAGUCC